CCUACGGGAGGCUGCAGUGAGGAAUAUUGGUCAAUGGCCGGGAGGCUGAACCAGCCAAGUCGCGUGAGGGAAGACGGCCCUACGGGUUGUAAACCUCUUUUGUCAGGGAGCAAGGUGCAGGUCGGGACCUGCUGUGAGAGUACCUGAAGAAAAAGCAUCGGCUAACUCCGUGCCAGCAGCCGCGGUAAUACGGAGGGGGUGAGCGUUAUCCGGAUUUACUGGGUGUAAAGGGAGCGUAGACGGUUCUGCAAGUCUGGAGUGAAAGCCCGUGGCUUAACCGCGGAACGGCUUUGGAAACUGUGGAACUGGAGUGGUGGGGAGGCAAGCGGAAUUCCUAGUGUAGCGGUGAAAUGCGUAGAUAGUAGGCGGAACACCAGUGGCGAAGGCGGCUUGCUGGACAGUAACUGACGUUGAGGCUCGAAAGCGUGGGUAGCAAACAGGAUUAGAUACCCGGGUAGUC
rnacentral:rRNA from 1 species